rnacentral:lncRNA from 1 species
AUUCUUAUUUGUGGGUCCUUUUCGUUGCGGCAUGUGGGACGCUGCCUCAGCGUGGUUUGAUAAGCAGUGCCAUGUCCGCGCCAGGAUUCGAACCAACGAAACGCUGGGCCGCCUGCAGCGGAGCGCGCGAACUUAACCACUCGGCCACGGGGCCAGCCCCGUGUGGAAAAUUUUUGAUCAUGAUUAAUUGAAUAGCAAUAUGUAUGAUCAAGUCAGGCACAAGGAUGGAAGGCUAGUUAGACGUCUUUUAUAACAGCUUAAGGGAAAGGAAAGGGAGGAAACUAGGGCAAUUGCAGUUGGAGUGGGGUGAAGAGGAUGGACCUAAGAGCUGUUCUGCAGAUAAGGAAAAUGAGACCCAGAGAGGCUGGAGAUCAUGGCCUUGCUCUUCCGUGCCAAGUUGCUGGACUCAUCUCCUCAGAGUGCUUCCUUUGAACUUCUUUAAUGCCACUUGACCAGACUUCACGUUGGGCUAUACUCAUGAGAUUUCCCUCCAGAAAUAGCCAAGAUGAUGAACGCCUACAUGCACAUAAUGCUAAAUGCUGGACAUUGGAAAUACAGUAGUGAACAGACAGAUGUGGCUAGGUCAUCCUGGAGCUUAACAUCUACUUGUUUCCUUAAGUGCUUGUUUCUUAUCAGACUCUCAAUGACUUCAAAGAAGAAAGCUCAUUCCUUGACUUGGAUAUCAAUAUUUUCUAAAGCAAUGCUAGUCUCCCAAAUAUGGUGAAUCCUACUUGACGGCUGACACAGUUUGGCUGGUAAGAGUAUACUUUGAAAUCAAUAAUU